CCUACGGGGGGCUGCAGUGGGGAAUAUUGGACAAUGGGGGGAACCCUGAUCCAGCCAUGCCGCGUGUGUGAAGAAGGCCCUCGGGUUGUAAAGCACUUUCAGUGAGGAAGAACGCCUGGUGGUUAAUACCCAUCAGGAAAGACAUCACUCACAGAAGAAGCACCGGCUAACUCCGUGCCAGCAGCCGCGGUAAUACGGAGGGUGCGAGCGUUAAUCGGAAUUACUGGGCGUAAAGCGCGCGUAGGUGGCUUGAUAAGCCGGUUGUGAAAGCCCCGGGCUCAACCUGGGAACGGCAUCCGGAACUGUCAAGCUAGAGUGCAGGAGAGGAAGGUAGAAUUCCCGGUGUAGCGGUGAAAUGCGUAGAGAUCGGGAGGAAUACCAGUGGCGAAGGCGGCCUUCUGGACUGACACUGACACUGAGGUGCGAAAGCGUGGGUAGCAAACAGGAUUAGAUACACCUGUAGUC
rnacentral:rRNA from 1 species